rnacentral:rRNA from 1 species
UACGUAGGGUGCAAGCGUUAAUCGGAAUUACUGGGCGUAAAGCGUGUGUAGGCGGCUUCGCAAGUCGGAUGUGAAAGCCCCGGGCUCAACCCGGGAAGUGCACUCGAUACUGCGGAGCUAGAGUGUCGGAGAGGUUGGUGGAAUUCUCGGUGUAGAGGUGAAAUUCGUAGAGUAUCGAGAGGAACACCGGUGGCGAAGGCGGCCAACUGGACGAACACUGACGCUGAGACACGAAAGCGUGGGGAGCAAACAGG